UGCAGUCGACGAGAUGCCAACCUCUGGUUGGCAUCUUAGUGGCGGACGGGUGAGUAACGCGUAAGAACCUGCCCCUGGGAGAGGGAUACCAACUGGAAACGGUUGUUAAUACCUCAUAGGCUGAGGAGUGAAAUGGUUAACACCGCCUAGGGAUGGGCUUGCGUCUGAUUAGCUAGUUGGUGGGGCAAAAGCCUACCAAGGCAAUGAUCAGUAGCUGGUCUGAGAGGACAAUCAGCCACACUGGGACUGAGACACGGCCCAGACUCCUACGGGAGGCAGCAGUGAGGAAUUUUCCGCAAUGGGCGCAAGCCUGACGGAGCAAUGCCGCGUGGAGGAUGAAGGCCCGUGGGUUGUAAACUCCUUUUCUUAGAGAAGAAGCCCUGACGGUAUCUAAGGAAUAAGCAUCGGCUAACUCCGUGCCAGCAGCCGCGGUAAUACGGAGGAUGCAAGCGUUAUCCGGAAUCAUUGGGCGUAAAGGGUCCUGAGGUGGUUUGCUAAGUCUACUGUGAAAGAUCAGGGCUCAACCCUGAAGAUGCGGUGGAAACUGGCAGGCUAGAAUACGGUAGGGGCAGGGGGAAUUCCCGGUGUAGCGGUGAAAUGCAUAGAUAUCGGGAAGAACACCAAAGGCGACGCACCCUGCUGGGCCGAUAUUGACACUGACAGACGAAAGCUAGGGGAGCAAAUGGGAAUAGAUACCCCAGUAGUCCUAGCCGUAAACGAUGGAAUACUAAGUGCUGAACGACCAAAAACGUGCAGUGCUGCAGCUAACGCGCUAAUUAUCCCCGCCUUGGGGGAGUAUGCCCGCA
rnacentral:rRNA from 1 species